GAUGAACGCUAGCGGGAGGCCUAACACAUGCAAGCCGAGCGGUAGAGUUUCUUCGGAAACUUGAGAGCGGCGCACGGGUGCGGAACACGUGUGCAACCUGCCUUUAUCUGGGGGAUAGCCUUUCGAAAGGAAGAUUAAUACCCCAUAAUAUAUUGAUUGGCAUCAGUUAAUAUUGAAAACUCCGGUGGAUAAAGAUGGGCACGCGUAAGAUUAGAGAGUUGGUGAGGUAACGGCUCACCAAGUCAACGAUCUUUAGGGGGCCUGAGAGGGUGAUCCCCCACACUGGUACUGAGACACGGACCAGACUCCUACGGGAGGCAGCAGUGAGGAAUAUUGGACAAUGGGUGAGAGCCUGAUCCAGCCAUCCCGCGUGAAGGAAUAAGGACCUAUGGUUUGUAAACUUCUUUUGUACAGGGAUAAACCUACUCACGUGUGAGUAGCUGAAGGUACUGUACGAAUAAGCACCGGCUAACUCCGUGCCAGCAGCCGCCGUAAGAC
rnacentral:rRNA from 1 species